rnacentral:rRNA from 1 species
UACGUAGGGGGCGAGCGUUGUCCGGAUUUAUUGGGCGUAAAGAGCGUGUAGGCGGCCAGGUAGGUCUGCUGUGAAAACUCGAGGCUCAACCUCGAGACGUCGGCGGAAACCAUCUGGCUAGAGUCCGGAAGAGGAGAGUGGAAUUCCUGGUGUAGCGGUGAAAUGCGCAGAUAUCAGGAAGAACACCCGUGGCGAAGGCGGCUCUCUGGGACGGUACUGACGCUGAGGUGCGAAAGUGUGGGGAGCGAACAGG